rnacentral:tRNA from 1 species
GUUCUUUUAGUAUUAACCAGUACAAGUGAUUUCCACUCACUAAGUCUUAAUAAAAAUUUAAGAAAGAACA